rnacentral:lncRNA from 1 species
GAGCAUUCCAUGCUCAUGGAUAGGAAGAAUCAAUAUCAUGAAAAUGGCCAUACUGCCCAAGGUAAUUUAUAGAUUCAAUGCCAUUCCCAUCAAGCUACCAAUGACUUUCUUCACAGAAUUGGAAAAAACUACUUUAAAGUUCAUAUGGAACCAAAAAAGGGCCUGCAUUGCCAAGACAAUCCUAAGCCAAAAGAACAAAGCUGGAGGCAUCAUGCUACCUGACUUCAAACUAUA